AUAUAUACUAAAGCCAUAGUAACAAUUGGGUAAUAUGCGCCAGAAAACACAACAGUAGCAGUAUAAAAUUUAUGUAAAAAUUUAACAACAUCACUAAUGACCUACCAAGUAUCAGUUGUUAACAUACGCCUAGGAUCAGUACAAUGUGCAUUAGCAACCUCAGUUAUUGGAAAUCUAUAUUUGUAGCAACAUUUUAAAAAUAUAUAUGUAUAGUUCCAUCUAGUUACAACUUCGUCUGGCAUGAAUCUAGGCGUAAGGUUAUACUGGAUACACUUAUUCUUAAAUUCUUUUAUU
rnacentral:lncRNA from 1 species